UACGAAGGGUGCAAGCGUUACUCGGAAUCACUGGGCGUAAAGCGUGCGUAGGCGGUUCGUUAAGUCUGCUGUGAAAGCCCUGGGCUCAACCUGGGAACUGCAGUGGAUACUGGCGGACUAGAGUGUGAUAGAGGAUGGUGGAAUUCCCGGUGUAGCGGUGAAAUGCGUAGAGAUCGGGAGGAACACCAGUGGCGAAGGCGGGUCUCUGGACAGUUCCUGACGCUGAGGCACGAAGGUCAGGGGAGCAAACGGGG
rnacentral:rRNA from 1 species